UACAGAGGUCUCAAGCGUUGUUCGGAUUCAUUGGGCGUAAAGGGUGCGUAGGCGGCGCGGUAAGUCGGGUGUGAAAUCUCGGAGCUUAACUCCGAAACUGCAUUCGAUACUGCCGUGCUUGAGGACUGGAGAGGAGACUGGAAUUUACGGUGUAGCGGUGAAAUGCGUAGAUAUCGUAAGGAAGACCAGUGGCGAAGGCGGGUCUCUGGACAGUUCCUGACGCUGAGGCACGAAGGCCAGGGGAGCAAAACGGG
rnacentral:rRNA from 1 species